AAACAUUUUGUCGUAGUUGGUUAAGGUUUGGUCUAGAUUGUCUUUGCUUUAUUAUUGAUACGUUUAUUUGUAAUUUGGCUUAUUUGACUAUUGUUUUAUAGUUAACUUGGGUUAGUUUAGUUCAGAUUGCCCCCCCCAAAAAUUUUUUUGAGGGGAUGUUUUGGUUUGGGCCAAAACGUUGAGAGCCAUGUGUUCUUUUGGUUCAGUUAGCUUGGUAGCUAAAUUUGGUUAACAAUUCACUCUGGGUUUUUCUGGGUUUUGGUUCAAGUGGGAGUCCUCUCCUGUUCAGGCUAAUCAGCGAGUGUCAAUAGGAGGCUCGUGGUGUUUUUGUUUUAGGUGGCAGUGAACGUGGGUAGAGCUUCCCUUUUCCUUUCCCCCCUACAUCGGCUCGGGAGCACCUCCGUGGUUAUGGGGGGAGGGGGCGCCAGUUUCUGCUUGUCUUUUCCACUCCGCUGGUUUUGUGUGCAUAAAACCCCAGCACAUGUGACUGCACGAAGACCAGGGCCAGUUAGUUAGUUGUUUUUGGAGGAUAGUGGGGUGUGGCUCCUGUCCCUUGAACCCAGACUAACAGCAGGUGAGUUGUGUUUUUUUUUGUUGUUGAGCGUUUGUUAUAGUUGUAUUGGUUGAGGAAAAUGUCUUCCAUUCUGAGUAGUUUUGUUCAAGCUCCUUCAGAGGUAGCCUUAGAGUUGUGUACUAAGGAGCAGUUAAUUGAAAAUUGCAGAACAUUAUCAGAUUGAGAUUGUUGAUUAAAAAAAAUUGAGACUUAAAACUAAAUUAAAGCAGGGUCUUAAGGAAAUAGGUGUUUUUUGGGGGUCUGUCUGCUAGUAGUGAAGGUACAAGUUUUCAGUCUAGUCCUUCAUUAACUUUUGAGCAGCAGCGGGAGCUAUUGCGAAUGCAGUUGGAGAUAGAGCGAUUGAGAAAUGCUAAUAGACCAGAAGAAUUACCACAGUAGAAUCUUGUGUUUGUUGCGUAAAUUUGAUGAGUCAGAUCCAGACAAAUACUUUGCUUUAUUUGAGCGUAUUGCGGAAGCCAGAGCUUUGUCAGAUUUGGACGUGACUAUGUUGUUGCAAUGUGUACCUACAGGUAAAGCACGUGAGGCUUUUGCAGCACUGAGUGUAGCUGACUGUAAACUGUAUGCUAAAGUUAAAUCAGCAGUUCUGAAGGUCUACGAACUUGUGCCGGAGGCAUAUCGUCAACGUUUUCGUUACAGGAAAUAGUUAGAUUCACAAACCUGUUCUGAGUUUGUUCGUGAUUUGACUUCCGCAUUUAAUCGUUGGUGUACAGCUUCUGAAGUUAGUACUUUUGAAGAUCUGUCUCAUUUGAUUGUGUUAGAACAGUUCAAAAAAUUCUGUGUGUGACCAGGUUGCUACAUACAUGAAUGAACGUAAAGUUAAGUCUCCAAGUGAUGCAGCAGUCCUUGCAGAGGAGUACAGGCUAACACAUAAAAGCAAUUUUUGAGUCAAACAGUGACAUGUACCAUGAAAAUAACUUUACUAGUAGGUCACAUUUUUUUUUGGAGCUUCUUUCCAAAGGCCUCAGCAGAAGUUUGGGUCUGGAGGACUAAAAGCACCGGUUAAUGCUAAUACCUGUUGCUACUGUUUAGUUGAAGGACAUUGGAAGAAAGAUUGUCCUCUACUUAAAUCAAAAAAAGUCAGGUCAAGUUAAACCUGCUGUGAUGGCAGCUCCUGUUUCAGCCUCUGACCAUCAGGGUGAGUUUUUUUCAGCCACUAGUUGAGUUUGAUUCUCAGUCUUCCCACUGUGAUUUUUCAGCCUUUAUUUCAGAUGGUGUAGUGUCCCUGAAAGAUGGCAACCAAAAUGUUUCGAUCAAGAUCUUAAGAGACACUGGAGCUUUAGAUUAUUUUAUUCUGGAAUCUGUUUUGCCGUUCUCUAAGGAGUCUGAUACUGGCAGAUGGUACGUGGUAUGGGUUUAGUUCCAUUCUCUUCUCCUCUACAUGAAGUUACCUUAAAAUGUGGUCUGGUAGAGGGUGAUGUAGAUGUUGGGGUUAGACCCCAGUUGCCAGUAGAGGGAGUCCACAUGAUUUUGGGGAAUGUUUUGGCAGGUAGUAAGGUGUGGGCAGAUAGCAAACUAAACAUCUUUACGAAACAACCUUCAGUGUCCCCAGCAAGGGUAUCUCCAGAUCGCAACUGUGUAUCUCCUGAGAUAUUUCCAGUUUGUGAUGUUACCAGCGCUGCCUCUCGUAAUAAGGCUGAGAGUAAGACGGAAAGUUUUGAGUUGCCAGUCAAACUCCAGACAGAACAGUUGACUAGUUCUAGAGAUUCAUUGAUAGCUGAGCAAAAGGCUGAUACUACUUUGGCUGAUCUGUUUGAUAAUGUUGUUCCUGAUUCAGUGCUGAGGAAGAGUGCUCAGUGUUAUUUUCUUCUUGAUGGGCUGUUGGUUAGGAAAUGGGUUCCACACUAUGAUCAGGGUCUAGGAGAACCAGUCUUUCAAAUAGUUGUACCUACCACUCUGCAAAAUAAAGUGUCGCAAACUUCACAUGGUGACGUGGCAGGUCAUAUGGGUGUUCGUAAAACUUAUGAUCGCAUACUCCGGUAUUUUUUUUUCUGGCCACGUUUAAAGCGGGAUGUAGCUCAGUUUAUUAAAACUUGUCAUACGUGUCAGCGCACAAGCAAGCCGAACCAGGUUGUAAGCCAUGUGAAUCUGUUUAAAUGUUAUCACUCCAGUGAUCUAAGCAAAGUGGAAGGCACUCCAGCGGUGAGGUCAGCGUUGAUUGCUGCUCCAGUCACUGCAUCUUGUGGCUUUAACUUUGUGGAGGGGGGAGAAGAGGAGGUAGUUAGGGUUUCGGAUGAGGUCUUACAAAGAUGGUUGGAAAAACUCCCAGACUUUGUAAAUUCUUGGGGUUUUGGUAGAUCAUUUAGACUCUGAGAAACGUGAUGAAUUGGUAGCUCUUAUUAGAAGCUACCCUGUUUAUGUUUUCUGACACUCUAUCGAAAACCCAUUUAAUUGAGCAUGACAUAGACAUCGGAGAUGCUAAGCCUAUCAAACAGAUUUUUAUCGUUUAUCUCAGGAGAAGAGACUGCAAUUGGACGACGUGGUCGUCUACUCAGACUCCUGGGAGGAGUAUGUCUGGAGAGUGCAAGCCCUGUUCGAAAGACUGGUGUGGGACAGGUUCAGGAUCAAUUUGGAAAAGUGUGAGUUUGCCAAAGCUAUAGUCACAUACCUAGGCAAGGUUGUUUGUCAGGGUGUUGUCUGUCCCGUGGAAGCCAAGGUUCAGGCUGUGAAGCAGUUCCCACAGCCCUCCACAAAGAAAGAACUGAUGCGCUUCCUGGGAAUGGCGGGGUACUACCGUGCUUUCUGUAAAAAGGAGGGUCGUUAGUGAUUGGAGCCACCUGGGCUCAGGGUAUUUUAAUCUCUCUCUCUCUCUCUGUCUCUCUGUCUCUCUGUCUCUCUCUCUCUCUCUCUCUGAUCCUGUUUGUUUCUUUUGUAGGUUUAUUUAGUUUCCACUCAGUCUGUUCCCACACACUGAUCCAUGCACCUUACCUUAUGACAUUUCCACACCUCAUUCCUUUUUCUUUGUUCCAAGUUAAUCUUUUUUUGUUUUGUUUUUUUUGGUUUACAAUAAAGAACCUUUUUGAUUGGCCUAUACCUUUUGUUCAUGUCCCCUCAUUUUUGCCACAGGCUAUGAGCCGGCAGAGGAGGGGCCAUGACAUUUGUUUCAGUCCAUAACCAUCUGUGUGAGGUGGAUACUUUUGUUUCAAUGUAGAUUUGUUACAGACUAUCAAGAAACACUCUGUGUGGCCUUGAUUUAGCCCACUCUAUGUGCCAUCAUAGAUUUGUGUAAUAAUGAUGAUUUUAUGUCAACCUACGACCAAUGUUGUUGUUCUGUUGAGGAGGUGCUGCAGAGGUGCUGCAGAGGUGCUGCAGAGGUGCUGGAAUAAAGUAAUUUGUUUAAAUGUUUGUAAAUGUCUUCAGGUUUCAGGUACAGUGAAAACGCCUUUCUUGCUCUUUCCCAAAAAUGCAGUAAUCAAUAUCACUAGUACUAUUAAAAUAUGAUAAAAUAGACAUUUUAUAAUACUAGUGAUAAUAUAUCAAUUAAAAAAUGUCUCUUUCAUAUGAAUCAAAUUGUAUUCAUCACAUGCUUUGUAAACAACAGGUGUCAACAGUGAAAGUAUUACUUAUUGGC
rnacentral:lncRNA from 1 species